CAAAUGACCGUGAAAAGGAGUAGUAGUGAACAAAACGGGCUGCAGAGAGUUGACGGCUGGUGCGAGUCAACCGAAGUUUGUUUACGAACUCGCCUUGGAGUUGCGUGUGCGAAUGAGGUAGCAUGCGCCGUGAAUCUGCGUUAAUGAGUCGAGUGAGCGUUUUUUGUGCGCUAAUGAGGGUGGUACCGCGGGAAAUUCGACCUCUCGUCCCUUUU
rnacentral:ncRNA from 1 species